GACAGAGGUGCCGAGCGUUAGGCGGAAUCACUGGGCUUAAAGCGUGUGUAGGCGGAUUUUUAAGUACCUUGUGAAAUCCCACGGCUUAACCGUGGAACUGCUUGGUAUACUGGAAAUCUUGAGCCACUUAGGGGCGAGCGCAACAAAUGGUGGAGCGGUGAAAUGCGUAGAUAUCAUGAGGAAGACCAGUGGCGAAGGCGGGUCUCUGGACAGUUCCUGACACUGAGACACGAAGGCCAGGGGAGCAAACGGG
rnacentral:rRNA from 1 species